rnacentral:lncRNA from 1 species
AGGCACCGAGGUCCCCGAAAGCAUCAGAACACCCUCCUUGCAGCAUCAGCACCUUCGGAGUACCAGUUCAGCCGCAAUCAUGAUCGCCGCAAGCACCAAGUCCAUCCUUCUCGCACUCGUCGUGCUGGCCGCCCUGUGCAGCCUGGCAGCCGCCCAGUACGGCUACGGCGGUUACGGUGGCUACGGACGCGGCUAUGGCUACGGAGGCUACGGCCGCGGAUACGGUGGUUAUGGUGGCUACGGCCGUGGCUACUAUGGUGGCUACGGAGGCUACGGUCGGGGAUACGGCUUCUAUGGUUAAAGAAGCACCUAUGAACGCCGACUGCCCCCCCCCCCCCCUCCCGAGACCAUGAAACGAUGCGCCCGCAACUGGAAUAAGCCUACGAAAGACGAUUCGCCAUGGAAUGAAUGACUACGUAGAAUAAAUUGAUUUCAUCAUCCUU